AAAAAGAGAGAGCAGAAAGCCACUUCGAACGACCAGUCCCACGUGAAUUAUAGAUGAAUAAUUAAAUUGCUCCCACAUAUUCGUACAACAGAACACUUAAUUACCUCAGACAAAAGACAAGCGACACCAAAUGAAUAAGGAGAGAAAUACAGACAAAUUAAUUCACUGUCUUCCUUUCCUUCACUUUCCUCAUCUGUCUGUCUUUCCCUCUUUCUCUCACAUAAGUCAAUACAGUAAAUCCUUCCCUAGAAAACGAUGUAAUAGGAAAACCGUCUCAGAUCUACGCCGUUUAGUCAGCAGAUAAGUGACGUUCUUUCUGGCUUUCGAUCAUUUCUUUUUUUUUUCUUUGCUAUCGUGCAUAAGGCGGCCGACAGUUGUGGAAGGGGAAAACGCACCACCGCCACCACCACCAUCACCAUCACCACCACCACCACCAUCACCACCACCAUCACACCUGUUUCCGCCUCACACCACACCACUCGCGGCUCAAAGGCUGAACCUGUAACCCCUUCCCCCACUUCCCUUCCUUCCCCUUACCUCCCUUCCUUCCUACCCUCCUCCUCCUCCUCCUCCCUCCCUUCCCCCAGCUGUCACCCUUGCCCUAACUCCUUUCCUCUCCAGUCUCCAGCUAACCUGUACCUUCCUCCCUGCACUCUCUCUCCCCAACUCCCCUCUUCUCCCUUUCUCUUACUCCUAUACCCUCUCCCUCACUCACUCCCAUCCUCUCCCCUCUCUCCACUCCCUUUGUAGCUUCUGUAUCUCUCUUCCUCCAAUCCUUUCCCUCCUCCUCGUCCUUCCCACUUAUCCUCUUUCCUUCCUUCAUCUCCCUCCCCACUUCCCUUAUGAUGACUUAUGAUUUUUUUUCUUCUUCUCCUCCUCCUUCCCAUUUAUCCUCUUUCCUCCCUUCCUCUCCUUCCCUUCUUCACCUAUAAUCUACUCUCCCCUCCUCCCUACUACUCACUUACCGCCCCAACUCCUCCUCUCCCCAUUCUCCACUCCCCUUUUCGCUCCGGUUCCUCCCUUCCAUCCCACCUAUCCUUUCCUUUCUUCUCUUCCUCCCUUCCUUUUCCUCUUCUUCCCUCUACUCUCUACUCUCUCUCUAUCCUAUUCACUCAUUUUCCUUAACUCUUUUUUCUCCUACUCCUUUCCCUCCCUACUCCUACUCUCUCCCUUUCCUGGUCUCUCUAAAUCUCUCCCACUCCCAACUCCCAACUCUCUGUAUACUAUUCACUCAUUUUCCUUAACUCCUUUUUUCUCCUACUCCUUUCAGGCCUUCCCUCCCUACUCCUACUCUCUCCCUUUUCUGAUCCCUCAAAAUCUCUCCCACUUCCAACUCCUUCUCCCUAUUCGUCCCUUUAAAUCACUACCUCCCCGCCCUCCCCACCAUCACCGCUUUACCCUCCCCUUUCCCCCCUAAGCCACAUAUCCUGCAGGACUUACUCUAUAGCUCUGAGCGAUGAGGAGAGCAAAUGAUCCAGUCCGCCCAUCCAGGUUUCUUUUUUCCUUUCUUUCGUUUUCUUUGAUGAGGCAAGAGUGAAAAACAGCUGACGGUCGCGCACGGAAACGGAAUGGUGGUUGGGUUUUCUUUUUUUGUGUGUGUUUUAUAAUCCGAGUUUGUGGUUAGCGAAGUGACUUUGAGGUGACUUAGAGAGUGAUAUGAUCUUGCUUAUACUGAAUAAUAAAUAAAGCCUCCGGGAGUGACUUACGGAAUCGCACGGUAACGGAGUAGUGGUGAUUUUUUAUUUAUUUAUUUAUUUAUUUAUUUUGUGUGUGUGCGUGUGUGUGACUUUUAUGAUUCGAGUUUGGGCUUAUCGAAGUGACUUAGAGAUUACUUAAGAGUGACUUAUUAUUUCUUAACGCUGAUCAAAGCCUCCGAGGGUGACUUACGGAGACUUACUUAAAUACUUUCGUCUGUUUUGGAGAAGCUUAGUGAGUACCACGACACACACACACACACACACACACACACACACACACACACACACCUACAGGUUUAACUUAUCCACGUACACAGAACAGCUUUUCCUUUUUGCCUCCAUAAAGGGAUGAAGAGAGAGAGAGAGAAAGAGAGAGAGAAAGAGGUAGAGAAAGAAGUAGAGAAAGAGAGAGAGAGUGAGAGCCUCGGGUACUGUGAGCAUCAAAGGUAAAAGGAAACAUACCAACAAAAAAAGGGAUAAGGGAUAGGCCUGCGGAUACCUCUCAGGCUUGUCACAUACUAAGUCAAGAGGGAAACUAUAAUAACAUCAAACGGGAGCUGGAAAGUGUUGUGCUCCUCUGGCCUUCCUUCCUUCCUUUCAUCCCGCCGAGUCGUGGAGAGAGAAAGAAAAAAAAUGAAAGCCAGGAAAAAAAAGAGGGAUUGAGAAGGAAGUGAGAGAACUACAGGAAGUCGUGAAAAGAAAAGAAGGAAAUGUAGAGAAAGAAGAGACAACAGAAAUGGAAGGAGAGAAUAAGAUAGUCGUGAAAAGAUAUAAAAAAAUGGAAAUUCAAUAAAAAAGAGAAGUGAGAUGAGAGUAAGGAUAAUAAAGUGGAAAAAGAAAAAGGAGGAAAGACAGAAAAAAGUGGGGAUUGAGAUGGAGGUAAGAAAGUAUAACAGAUAAAUGGAGAGGGUAAAGAAGGAAGAGGAGAUAAGGAAAAGCAGGGAAGCAAGGGGAGGGAGAGAAGAGAGCGAAUAGAUGGAAGAAAGAAGAGUCAAAUCAUGGAGAAGAAGAGAAAAAAGGAAAGCCAGAAUGAACAGGGAAUAGAGAUAGAAGUAUGGAGAGUCUAGCCGUGGAAAGAAGAAAAGUAAAACCAGAAUAAAAGAGAGAAGGAACAGAAAUGGAAGUAAGAAAAGAGGAGGAGGAGGAGGAGGGUAAAAAAAAAUACGAAAAAAAAUAAAGAAAGGCAUAAAGCAGGGACUAAAAGAAAAGAGGAAGAAGAAGGGGGUAAGGGGAGCAGGUGAGUGAAAGAGAAUGUGUGGGAGAGAGAAGAGGUGAGGAAGAAUAGGGAGAGCAAGAAGAGAGAGGGAGAUAGAGAACAAAGGUAAAUAAGAAGAGAAUAAGAAGUUGUGGAGAGAAAAGAAAGAAAUAGAGAAAGGAGGGAAGAGAAAUAAAUGGAAGGAGUGAAUACCAAGUGCUCGUAGAUAUAAAAGAAGAGAGGAAAAAAAGGAACAGAAAUGGAAAUAAGAAGAAAAUUACAAGAUUAUCAGGAAUGGAAGGAUAAGGGAAGCAGGCGGGGGUGAGAGAAUGUGAGGAAGAACAGAGGAAGGAAGGAGAGGAAGGAGAGGAAGAGAACAAAGGGAAGAGAAAGGGAAGCAAGAAGGGAAUAAGGGAAGGGAGGAGCAGAGAAGAGAACAUAGAAGAGAGAAGAAAGAAGCAAGCUCAAGAGAGGGGGGAGAAAGAAGAGGAAAAGAGGGAAGAAGGGGAAGAAAGGAGAGGAAGAGAACAAAAGAAAGAGAAAUGAAAGUAAGAAGGGAAGGAAGGAAGGGAAGCGUCAAAGGAAUAUAUGAAGGAGAACCAAUUUCAAGAGAAGGGAGAAGAAAGAAGAGGGAGACAGGGAAGAAAGGAGGGGAAGAGAACAAAUGGAAGAGAAGGAAAGGAAGAAAGGAAGGCAUACGCAUAGGAGAAUAUAUGAAAGAGAAGAAGCAAAGGCAAGGAGAGGGCGAAGAAAGGAGAAGGGAGAGAGAGGGAGAGAGAACAAAGGGAACGGAUGGAAUGAAGGGGAGAAGGAAGGGGAGAAGAAUUAGGGAGGCAUAUGAAUGAGAAUUAUGAGAGAAGGAAUGCUAAGAAGAAGGGGAAGAAGGGGAAGAAGGGAUUAAAGGAAACAGGAGAAUAAAGGCGAUUAGAUGAGGGAAAGAAGAUGGGAUGUGGGAGACGAUGUAAGAGAGAAAGCUUAAGAGGAGGGAGAGGACGAAGGAACAGAAGGAGAAAAGGAGGAGGGGAGAGGAAAGGAAAACGAGUGAGUGAGGAAAAUUUGCAUGGAGAAGAGAGGACAAAGGAAUAGGAGAGAAAGUUGUGAAAGGGCAUGAGGAAAAGGAGGAAGGAAAUGGAAAAAAGAACCGUUAAGAGGAGAGAAAGAGUAGGAGGAGGAGGAGCAAGAAAGAGAAAAAGACGGAUGUGGAAAAAAAAGGUAAACUGUGAUCUCCUAAUAAAAAGAAAGCCCAAGGGAAAAAUAAAGUGGAGAGAAAAACGAUAAAUAAAUCACAAGUACCCCGAGGAAAGGAAGGAUAAAAAAUGAGCGGGAAAAAGAGGUUCAGAAUUUGAUCUUCCAGGGAAAACUAUAAAAAUGAAAAAUGGGCGAGAAAAAGAGGUUCAGAAUUUGAUCUUCCACGGAAAACUAUAAAAAUGAAAAAUGGGCGAGAAAAAGAGGUUCAGAAUUUGAUCUUCCAGGGAAAACUAUAAAAAUGAAAAAUGGGCGAGAAAAAGAGGUUCAGAAUUUGAUCUUCCAGGGAAAACUAUAAAAAUGAAAAA